UACGGGGGGGGCAAGCGUUUUUCGGAAUUUCUGGGCGUAAAGGGCUCGUAGGUGGCCAACUAAGUCAGACGUGAAAUCCCUCGGCUUAACCGGGGAACUGCGUCUGAUACUGGAUGGCUUGAGUUCGGGAGAGGGAUGCGGAAUUCCAGGUGUAGCGGUGAAAUGCGUAGAUAUCUGGAGGAACACCGGUGGCGAAGGCGGCAUCCUGGACCGACACUGACACUGAGGAGCGAAAGCCAGGGGAGCAAACGGG
rnacentral:rRNA from 1 species